GACGAACGCUGGCGGCGUGCCUAAUACAUGCAAGUCGAGCGCAGGAAGCUGACGGAACUCUUCGGAGGAAAGGUAGUGGAAUGAGCGGCGGACGGGUGAGUAACACGUAAGGAACCUGCCUCAAGGAUUGGGAUAACUCCGAGAAAUCGGAGCUAAUACCGGAUAGUUCAACGGACCGCAUGGUCCGCUGAUGAAAGGCGCUCCGGCGUCACCUUGAGAUGGCCUUGCGGUGCAUUAGCUAGUUGGUGGGGUAACGGCCCACCAAGGCGACGAUGCAUAGCCGACCUGAGAGGGUGAUCGGCCACACUGGGACUGAGACACGGCCCAGACUCCUACGGGAGGCAGCAGUAGGGAAUCUUCCACAAUGGACGAAAGUCUGAUGGAGCAACGCCGCGUGAGUGAUGAAGGUUUUCGGAUCGUAAAACUCUGUUGUAAGGGAAGAACACGUACGAGAGGGAAUGCUCGUACCUUGACGGUACCUUACGAGAAAGCCACGGCUAACUACGUGCCAGCAGCCGCAGUAAGAC
rnacentral:rRNA from 1 species